CUGAGAGGCCUCAAACAGAUUCCAAAUCCGCAGGCAGAGUUCUCUGAGACUUCGGGUGUUUGGAAGGAUUCUGGAGAUCACUGGCAGAUCCCGGAUAUCUCAGCCCCGCAGGCCUGCCUAGGGACAGGACGACUCUCCCUCGGAGCCCAGCUUAGCUGCUGGCCUCCUUCUGUGAGAAUACUUAUUGUAUGAGAAUUUUCAAUAAUUAACUUGGAAAGCUGCACGUGUUCCCAUCAUUCUGCAAACACUGAGAUCCUACUGGGUACAGAGGGGGCAGCAGAGCCUCUCAUCACAGAAAGGGGCCAGAAGAACCACUGGGCCAGGGUCUCCAAGUUAGGCUUUUGAUAUUAUCUCCGAAUGGGGUUAACGUUAUGUCAGAUCCACUGACCAAUUUGAUCAAAGACCCUCUUUCUGUGUCCUUAAGCUUGUUUCUUACUAACAAAGGCUACUAUGCCUGUGGAGCACCCUACAUUAU